GUCCCCUUGGUAAAAUGGAUAUUACGAGACCCUCCUAAGGUUUAAGUGCAGGUUCAAUUCCUGCAGGGGACA
rnacentral:tRNA from 1 species